rnacentral:rRNA from 1 species
CGCGUGUGUGAAGAAGGCCUUCGGGUUGUAAAGCACUUUCAGUCGUGAGGAAGGUAGUGUAGUUAAUAGCUGCAUUAUUUGACGUUAGCGACAGAAGAAGCACCGGCUAACUCCGUGCCAGCAGCCGCGGUAAUACGGAGGGUGCGAGCGUUAAUCGGAAUUACUGGGCGUAAAGCGCAUGCAGGUGGUUUGUUAAGUCAGAUGUGAAAGCCCGGGGCUCAACCUCGGAAUUGCAUUUGAAACUGGCAGACUAGAGUACUGUAGAGGGGGGUAGAAUUUCAGGUGUAGCGGUGAAAUGCGUAGAGAUCUGAAGGAAUACCGGUGGCGAAGGCGGCCCCCUGGACAGAUACUGACACUCAGAUGCGAAAGCGUGGGGAGCAAACAGGAUUAGAUACCCUGGUAGUCCACGCCGUAAACGAUGUCUACUUGGAGGUUGUGGCCUUGAGCCGUGGCUUUCGGAGCUAACGCGUUAAGUAGACCGCCUGGGGAGUACGGUCGCAAGAUUAAAACUCAAAUGAAUUGACGGGGGCCCGCACAAGCGGUGGAGCAUGUGGUUUAAUU